rnacentral:rRNA from 1 species
GCCUCGCCCGCACCGUCGGGGAGGUGGAACAUGAGCGCGAGCGAUAGGACCCGAAAGAUGGUGAACUAUGCCGGGGCAGGGCGAAGCCAGAGGAAACUCUGGUGGAGGUCCGUAGCGGUCCUGACGUGCAAAUCGGUCGUCCGACCUGGGUAUAGGGGCGAAAGACUAAUCGAACCAUCUAGUAGCUGGUUCCCUCCGAAGUUUCCCUCAGGAUAGCUGGCGCUCGACAGCUCGCAGUUUUAUCUGGUAAAGCGAAUGAUUAGAGGUCUUGGGGUCGAAACGAUCUCAACCUAUUCUCAAACUUUAAAUGGGUAAGAGGCCCGGCUCGCCGACUCGGAGCCGGGCGUGGAAUGCGAGCGCCCAGUGGGCCACUUUUGGUAAGCAGAACUGGCGCUGCGGGAUGAACCGAACGCCGGGGUAAGGUGCCCGAUGCGGUCGCUCAUCAGUCCGCCCUCACGGGGAUGGAG